rnacentral:rRNA from 1 species
AUUGAACGCUGGCGGCAGGCCUAACACAUGCAAGUCGAACGAGUGGCGGACGGGUGAGUAAUGUCUGGGAAACUGCCCGAUGGAGGGGGAUAACUACUGGAAACGGUAGCUAAUACCGCAUACCAUCGGAUGUGCCCAGAUGGGAUGAGCUAGUAGGUGGGGUAACGGCUCACCUAGUCGACGAUCCCUAGCUGGUAUGCUGUGAUGACCAGCCACACUGGAACUGAGCCACGGUCCAGACUCCUACGGGAGGCAACAGUGGGGAAUAUUGCACAAUGGGCGAAAGCCUGAUGCAGCCAUGCCGCGUGUAUGAAGAAGGCCUUCGGGUUGUAAAGUACUUUCAGCGAGGAGGCGUUACUCGCAGAAGAAGCACCGGCUAACUCCGUGCCAGCAGCCGCGGUAAUAC